ACGAACGCUGGCGGCGUGCUUCACACAUGCAAGUCGUACGGUAAGGCCCUUUCGGGGGUACACGAGUGGCGAACGGGUGAGUAACACGUGAGUAACCUGCCCACAACUUUGGGAUAACGCUAGGAAACUGGUGCUAAUACUGGAUAUGUGCUCCUGCUGCAUGGUGGGGGUUGGAAAGCUCCGGCGGUUGUGGAUGGACUCGCGGCCUAUCAGCUUGUUGGUGGGGUAGUGGCCUACCAAGGCGGCGACGGGUAGCCGGCCUGAGAGGGUGACCGGCCACAUUGGGACUGAGAUACGGCCCAGACUCCUACGGGAGGCAGCAGUGGGGAAUAUUGCACAAUGGGCGCAAGCCUGAUGCAGCAACGCCGCGUGCGGGAUGACGGCCUUCGGGUUGUAAACCGCUUUCAGCAGGGACGAAGCUUUUUGUGACGGUACCUGCAGAAGAAGCACCGGCUAACUACGUG
rnacentral:rRNA from 1 species